rnacentral:rRNA from 1 species
AGAAUCGACGCUGGCGGCGUGCCUAACACAUGCAAGUCGAACGAGAAAGGGACUUCGGUCCUGAGUAAAGUGGCGCACGGGUGAGUAACACGUGACUAACCUACCCUUGAGUGGGGAAUAACUUCGAGAAAUCGAGGCUAAUACCGCAUAAUACCUACGGGUCAAAGGAGCAAUUCGCUUAAGGAGGGGGUCGCGGCAGAUUAGCUAGUUGGCGGGGUAAUGGCCCACCAAGGCAGUGAUCUGUA